rnacentral:rRNA from 1 species
GACGAACGCUGGCGGCGUGCUUAACACAUGCAAGUCGAACGGAAAGGCCCUGCUUUUGUGGGGUGCUCGAGUGGCGAACGGGUGAGUAACACGUGAGUAACCUGCCCUUGACUUUGGGAUAACUUCAGGAAACUGGGGCUAAUACCGGAUAGGAGCUCCUGCUGCAUGGUGGGGGUUGGAAAGUUUCGGUGGUUGGGGAUGGACUCGCGGCUUAUCAGCUUGUUGGUGGGGUAGUGGCUUACCAAGGCUUUGACGGGUAGCCGGCCUGAGAGGGUGACCUGCCACAUCGGGACGGAGAUACGGCCCAGACUCCUCUGGGAGGCAGGAGUGGGGAAGAGUGCACUAUGGGCGGAAGCCUGAUGCAGCACCGCCGCGUGCGGGAUAACGGCCUGCGGGUAGUAAAGCGCUUUCGCCUGUGACGAAGCGUGAGUGACGGUAAUGGGUAAAGAAGCACCGGCUAACUACGUG